UGAUUCAGCCAACAUCCAUUCAGCUACCCAUCCAUCCGCUAUCCAUCUCUCCAUCUGUCCAUCCAUCCCUCCGUCCAGAAAACCUUUAUUUGGAGUGAACUGUACUUGGGUGGAAUGGAUCUAGGGAGAUACCUAAGUAUCCUGACCCCCAAGAGUUGAGCAGGGCCUCCUUGAAGGGUACUGUUGGGAUAGUAUUAGGGAGAAGAGUCAUGAGGAAAUGCUUUUUAUAGAUAUUUGGGGAGACCACAAAAAGGAGAAUCAGGUGGGUCCCUUUCUUAUUCUUGCUUCUAUGGCUGCAGAGAAGUGCCCAGCUGGCCAGCUGGCCACUGGCACAAUCUGCCUCUUUGUGUGAAACCAGUGGAAUCACAUAUGUGCUGCUCCCAGAUGCGGCCUCAGCACCAGCACUUUCCAGGCAGGAGGUUCUGUCAUGGUGUUGCCUGCCAAAUCUUGUCCAGAGGACUGAGGCCACUUGGCCAGCAGCUCUGCGCCUGUGAGCAGAAUUGUCUGGCUGCAGAGAAGAUCAGCUGGGGGUGCGGGGGCGGGGGGCAGCAGGGAAGAGCAAGAGCUUGGGGUGUGUGUGUGUGCGUGUGUGUGUGUUGUGCUGGACCAAAGUGCUUUCUCCCUGCACUCUGUACUUGAGAUGUUUCACUCAAUGGGAGACAAAGAGGCUUUGUGUGCUCUUCAAAGUGCUUCCUGCUGACUAUGAUAUAUGCCCAGGACAAACUCAGCCCAAAGCCGUGACCUUGCCCCCCAGUUCAAACCCCCAAUGCAAUUUGCAGAGGUUAGAAAUGAUAAAGGAUGGGUGGCAGGACCCAGAGGAAAAGCAGUGAAACCCAAUGGACCUUAAAUAGAUUGGAGGGCAAGGAUUUCACAUUUUAGGUGAGAUCUUUAAGACAAUUGUAGGAGAUUCUUACAUCCGCACAUACAGGAAAAUCAAGUAGAAUCUUCGUUUCAUUGUCUGGCAAAGAGACCACGAAAGGAAGCUUGAGGUUUUUACAUGACUCCAAAGACGCCCUUUACAAACGGUUGAGACGCAUUCAUCUACCGAGGGAAAUGGAUUAAAAAAAAAAAAAAAUCGAGGGUGGCAAUGCCUGUGGUAAGUACUGGAAAAGCACAGAGGAAGGCACAUGGCAAAGGACGAUUAACUUCCUUGAGAAGAUUUGGUUUAUUUUCUCCUCCUGGAAGAAAAUGGCAGUAAAGCCGUCACCUCUCUUCCCUUCCAGCUCAUGGAGUUCCCAAUAAAGAACCGGUCUGCUGGGCCACUGAAGAAACAAGGAGGAGACAGAAUCCUUUCUCCUGCUCGGCUCCUGGCUUCAGAUUCUUGGCUUGUGGGAGUGGAAUGCUGGCCAGAGCAGUCACUGGUUGGGGGUGGGGGGCUCUUCUGUCCAUCCAUCCACAUACAGGAUCCGAAAUCCCCACAGCUCAGGGGGAGGGGCUGAGGGCAGAUUGCUGGGGGCUGCGAGCCCGCUGAGUUCCAGGGGCAAAAGGGGAGAGAAGGCACCUGCCUUUGGUGAGUGCUGUGCCUGGCACCGUGCUGUGUGUCACAGCGCCUUGAACCUUGGCUCAGAAAUGCAAGUUAGAUACGCUUCACAUUUUACAGAUGAAGGAACUGAGACUCCGAAAAGCUAAGAGAUUUGCUCCAAUUCCAGCAGUCCUGCUGGGAUUUGAACCCAGGUCAGUAUGACUCCAAACCCAGGUUCUAUCUCCUCCUACAAAGAGCAUGUCCUUGCUCACCCUACAGUCAUUACUGGUCGAGGUGACCUUAGUUUCCCACAAAAAGGCUAGAAAAUACGCUUAUUCAUCUUUAGCCUUAUGCUUUCAGACUCAUUCUUAAAAACCUUCUUUAGGUAAGUUAAGGACAAGAGGCAUGCGUUUUCAAAACACUACUAUCUUAGCGGUUUAUAAAAUGCUGUCACACAAUCAUCUCUUUGACACCUCAUCUCCCCCCUCGAUUUACAAGUGAAGAAGGUGAGGCUCAAGGUGGUUAAGUGACUUGCCCAAGGGAGAGAUUUGUUCAGUCAGAAAGAUGGGCCUGAUCCUUGUCUACUUUGCGUUCUGACUCGAAGAGGCGCAAGACAUAGGCUCAAGCGGGAGAUCUCACUAAAUUUCGUGUCAGAUCCUCCUCUUGGUAAUUUAACCCUGUCAUUCCUAGUUGUAUCCCUUUGGAAAACCACCACCAAGCCUUUCUCACUUGAGAUUUUUAUGCUAAAAGAUUCCCUGUACAAACCGCCUCAUUCUUUCCACGACCAACCAACCAACCAACUCAGCAAGGCUCCCCGAAGUGUGCACUGCACGUCUGGCCCUCGCCUCAUCCUCCAGGCGGCUCUAGCUGCCCUCCCAGUUAGAAUUUAUGCAGAUGUUCACAGGAUAGGCGGGGGCAAGGAAGGAGGUGGCUGUCUCGGUUGUCUGUUUAUCUCGUGAAUGUGCGGGCUCUCCUAGACCCUUUGUCUGCGAGGCCAGGUCCCAGUUAGGGUGCAGGGCUCCCCCAAAGGGAAGGACUAUUUCAGUUUUGUAAACACCGCCCUCCAAAAACCACUUGACAUAAAUGUUUCAUGGCUCGCCUCCGCGAGGCCGCGGCUGGAACACUCAGCUGUGAGGCUGUUUAUAUUUGUGGAACUCUCUUGAACAUUUGCUGCGGGUUUCAAACAGCUGCUCUGCUGAAGCUCUGGGGAUAGGAAGAUCAUGAAUAUUCAGGUGAAGCCACCAGAAUGAACAGCCGUUAAUAGAAUAAAUGCCUAAACAGUUGUGUAAGGCUUAUUAAGACCUAUUGGGGCUGAGAUAAUAAAUUCCCACUCUGACAUGUUGCAACUACUGUCGCUUAAACACUUUGGACCACCUCUUCCGAACUGGAGGAAAAAAUGAUGUUAGUUCUCCGCGCAAACACAAAGAAACACCUGGAAGCCUUGGCAAGGGAAUGAGAUUUGGCAGAGAUCUUUCCGUGGACCGGUGCAUCCUCAGGAAAACGAUGUGUCGUUCAUUGUUCGCGCUGUCAAGGUUACCUCAGUCGAUUACAGGCUGGAGUGGGCAUGGCUCUGGCACCCGACAGAAUCAGUCCCGACUCCAUCAGACUGCCGGACAUCAGCUGAGAGCCGACACCAACAUCUGGGGCACUGAACCCAGCCCUCUGCCCCCUCCCCCACCUCAGUACCCGUGGCCUGGACCGUCUCCCUUCUCAGCCCCUUCCCAUGUCGUAUCGGAGGGACCAAAUAUACACUAACCUUGGGUUCUUUUCUCUUCUGCUCCGCCAAUCCAUAGCAGGGAACAGAGGGCAAAGUUUGCCAAUGCAGACGUGACCUUUCCAAGGGGCAAUACCUAGUUCAUUAAAAAGUCCAUUGCAACGACCUACUGUUUAGCACAGGGAAAUUUACUUAAUAUUUUGUAAUAACCUAUAAGGGAAAAGGGUCGGAAAAAGACCAUGUAUAACCGAUGUACUUUGCUGUACACCUGAAAUUAACACAGCACUGUAAAUCGAGUAUACUUUAAAUAAACCAAAAUCCAUUGC